AUUGAACGCUGGCGGCGUGCUUAACACAUGCAAGUCGAUCGGUGACGCGGGGGCAACCCUGGCGACGAGAGGCGGACGGGUGAGGAACGCUUGGGAAUCUGCCUAUCAGCGGGGGACAACACGGGGAAACUCGUGCUAAUACCGCAUACGCUCUACGGAGGAAAGCCGGGGACCGCACGGCCUGGCACUGAUAGAUGAGCCCAAGCCGGAUUAGCUAGUUGGCGGGGUAACGGCCCACCAAGGCGACGAUCCGUAGCUGGUCUGAGAGGACGAUCAGCCACACUGGAACUGAGACACGGUCCAGACUCCUACGGGAGGCAGCAGUGGGGAAUGUUGGACAAUGGGGGAAACCCUGAUCCAGCGACGCCGCGUGGGUGAAGAAGGCCUGCGGGUUGUAAAGCCCUUUCGGUAGGGACGAAAGCUCUCGACCUAAUACGUCGGGAGGUUGACUUAACCUACAGAAGAAGCACCGGCUAACUCUGUGCCAGCAGCCGCAGUAAAAC
rnacentral:rRNA from 1 species